rnacentral:rRNA from 1 species
GUCAAACCGGAGGAAAGGUGGGGAUGACGGUCAAGUCCUCAUGGCCCUUAUGACCAGGGCUACACACGUGCUACAAUGGCCGGUACAAAGAGUUGCGAUACAGCGAUGUGGAGCUAAUACUCAUAAAGCCGGUCUCAGUUCGGAUUGGAGUCUGCAACUCGACUCCAUGAAGUUGGAAUCGCUAGUAAUCGCGGAUCAGCACGCCGCGGUGAAUACGUUCCCGGGCCUU